AUUGAACGCUGGCGGCAUGCCUUACACAUGCAAGUCGAACGGUAACAGGUCUUCGGAUGCUGACGAGUGGCGAACGGGGUGAGUAAUACAUCGGAACGUGCCCGAGAGUGGGGGGAUAACGAAGCGAAAGCUUUGCUAAUACCGCAUACGAUCUCAGGAUGAAAGCAGGGGACCGUAAGGCCUUGCGCUCACGGAGCGGCCGAUGGCAGAUUAGGUAGUUGGUGAGGUAAAGGCUCACCAAGGCGACGAUCUGUAGCGGGUCUGAGAGGAUGAUCAGCCACACUGGGACUGAGACACGGCCCAGACUCCUACGGGAGGCAGCAGUAGGGAAUAUUGCGCAAUGGGGGAAACCCCUGACGCAGCGACGCCGCGUGAGUGAUGAAGGCCUUUCUGGUUGUAAAGCUCUGUAAGGAGGGAAGAAUGUCAGGCAGUAACGUGUCUGAGUGACGGUACCUCCGGAGUAAGGACCGGCUAAAUACGUGCCAGCACG
rnacentral:rRNA from 1 species